rnacentral:rRNA from 1 species
UUAUAGAGGGGCAUCCUGAUAUAAUCAAAGCAGCGAUGUGGUUAAGGAUGGGCAUGCGUCCCAUUAGCUAGUUGGCGAGGUAACGGCUCACCAAGGCGACGAUGGGUAGGGGUUCUGAGAGGAAGGUCCCCCACACUGGUACUGAGACACGGACCAGACUCCUACGGGAGGCAGCAGUAAGGAAUAUUGGGCAAUGGUCGGAAGACUGACCCAGCCAUGCCGCGUGCAGGAAGAAGGCCCUAUGGGUUGUAAACUGCUUUAGCCAGGGGCUAAACCUACCGAUGCGUUGGUAGCUGAAGGUACCUGGAGAAUAAGCAUCGGCUAA